GGGUGUCUGAUAUCAUUUGAGGGUUUCAGCACAUGAACCACGGUGGAAGAAUGGUACUUGGGUUCUAGUCAGUGACAUGAAUUCUUGCAUAAAAUUCAAAACUAAAGUUACAAUUUUUCCUAGGUUGGAAUUAGCCCCAUUUUAACCUUUAAUACAUGUAAUCUAAGAGGAAAAGAAAAGAAAAGGCGGAGUGGAUGAUUAAUGGUGUUUACUAUAGUUGUGAGCAGGGCCAUCUGGGAGUGCAAAUCAGAACUACCUGUGAUACUGUGGAGUAGCUGCCAUUCAUGAGAGCUGCCUUUAUUCUGUGUCUUUAGGGAUGGGUCUAUUUAGGGAAGGGUGGCAGAGAUAAUUGAUAAAUGCUUUAGUUCUAUACUAAAUGUGAACAACAAUUUGGGUUCCAUUUCCUUAGACUUAUGUGUCUAAAAUUGAAAUACUGGGACAUGAGAGGCAUCAUUUUUUUCUUUUUGUAUUUCUGAUUUAUGAACAACCUCAGAAUGUGAACUGACUAGCAAUUUGACCAAACCAACACACAUUUCAUAGAAAAGAGAGCAACUCAAAGAUGGGAUUCUGGAUGCAUGAGACAUGUUUGCUGGCCAAUCUUGUUACUGGGCAAGGUCAACUAUAGCUGAAGAGCCUCAACUUGUAGCAGUGCAAACAGGACACUAACAUGACCUGUCUGCAUUUUCAUAGCUCACAGGCAAAAGCUGCUCCUCAGAAGAAAGGCAGGAUGGAAAAACAGUGGUUUUUCAAGACAACAGAAAAGUAUGAACAAGUGCCUGGUCUGCUCUAGACUUUUAAAAACUUAAUAUGUAUCAUAUACUUAGAGACAUUCAUACAUCACAAGUAGGUGGCUCAAUGAAUUUUCGAAGGGUGCUCAUACAGUUCAUUAUUCCCAUGAUAAAGAAACAGGACACCAGGAGCAAGAGAGAUGUUUCAGUGGUGAUGAACAGAGCAACUCUUCAAGAAGACAAAGGCUGGAUUCCUAGCACUAACAUGGCAUGUCACAGCAUCCUUAAACUACACUUCCAGGAUUUUUGAUGCCCUCGUCUUCAGAGGAACCUCGGGCCAGAACAUUACAUCAGUUAUAAGGAUUCCUAGAUGACAGCUUCACUUGUCGAUUUGACAUACAUGGGAAAAAGGACACUCAGCUGAAGAGUUGCUUCCAUUAGGUUUGUCUCCGUACAUGACUAGGUAGGAUCCAAGGUAUUUUCCAGAAGUUAUCUAGAAAGAUGGUGUGUUUAAAAUUUAUAGGAAGAACUGAAAAAUUUAACUGCUGCUGAGGAACAUGGUGCUGGUUUGAGAAGAUGAGAGGCCCUGUCCAGAGGCUGGUUUGAGAAGAUGAGAGGCACAGUAACAGCUCUUGGCUGGUACAUCAUCAUCUACCACCUAAGGUCUAUAAAACCUCCCUGCCUUAAGCUUCUUUGGGAUCAGUGAACUCACCUGAGAGCCACUACCAACAAACCUACAGUUAUUUGUUCUUAUUGUGGUCUGAUCUUGCUUUUUUACAUUGGCAGAAAUGAAUCAAAAUUGUAGGUAAAACUGUAAUUCCAUUAUGGCAACAAGAAAGUGAAUUGAAGAAUAUGUUACAGAAUGAAAUGUACCAGAGAGUAAGAAAAGGCACAGUGGGUGUACAGAAAGUGUUAGUGGGAGAGGAUCAUGAUGGUAAGGUGGCUCACUUCAGAUGAAGUCUUCACUGGUAGCCUCACUAAGCAGGUCUGAUUCAUGAGGGGAAGACACUAGAAACAAAAGGCUAUUAGACUCUAUGGAGGCAGGUAAGAAAGUUGAAGGAGUUUAUUCCUGGUAUUUGUUGCUUUGUCAAAAUUUUGUUCUAAGACGAAGAGUGUGGCAAAAGGUUUGACUUGUGGGUUUGAAUUGCUGUCAAUAAAAUCAAUUAAAACAUCUGUUCCCAGCCUGA